AUGACUGAAGUGAUUCCCUUGGCUAGAACUGCCUCUGACCAUGUUCCAUGUGUGGUCACAAUUAAGACCUCAAUUCCUAAAUCCUCUAUAUUUAGGUUUGAGAAUUAUUGGGUUGAGCUUGAGGGGUUUAUGGAGUGUGUAAAGCAUGCAUGGCAAAAACAUCCUCACAAAUCUCAUAUUACUGCCAGAAUUGCAGAUAAGUUUAAAACUUUGAGAGGGGCUCUUAAGAGAUGGCAACUGAAUAUCUCUAAACUCAAAGUGUUGAUCUCAAGGUGCAAUGAGGUAAUUUUGUGCCUUGAUGGCCUUGAAGAGGUUAGACCUUUAUACAGACCUGAAUUUAAUUUCAGGAAGGUGGUGAAAUUGCAUGUGGAAAAGCUGUUACAUCUUUAG
rnacentral:rRNA from 1 species